CUGGGGAGGGACCGGGUGCUGCAUGGGAAGGAGAGUCCAAGCCAGAGUCUUCCACGUUUUCAGGCGAUGAGGAGGAGAAAGGGGAGGGGCUGGAGGUGAAACCGAGGCUGCUGGAGCCUAGGGAGCCAACAGCCGGUCAGCGGCAGGCCACGCCCACAUGGAGUCCCCGCCCAUCCUCCUUCAGGCCACACCCAUGAGGAGGAAAGAGCCUUUGUGCCGCUGCUCUGUCCUGGGCUGUUCCUACAGUUCCAACUGUGGCCACCUCCCACAGGUCCAGCCCAAAGUCAGCCUCUCGCGGAGCCCCCACCCCAAAGGAGGAGACUGAGUGUCAGAGUGGUUAAGCAGCCUGCCCCAAGUUACAGCAGAUCUGGGACUCAAAUCCACACCCAAAUCCAGGACUAGCUGUCCCUCCAAGUUUUCCAACCCACACCAAGACAGAAGGCUACUCACGUGAAGAAUGGCGUUUCAUCGUGCCCUGUGGACAAACAUGGCAGUGUCAGGCACAGGUGCAUCCAGCCAGCCCUGCUGCAUGCCCAAGCAACCCUCCCAACACCUCACCCCUGGGCCCGGCGGAAGGAUGAGGCUGCCAGCUGUGGCCCUGAGCUGUGCCGCUGCUGCCUCGGAGCUACAGGAUGGGGCCCGGGCGGGGGCAGGCUUGAUGUGCACGUGGAACUUGCGGGGCUCCUCGUCGUCAAAGUCAGAGUCGCUGGAGGAGAAACGAGAAGGCUCGGCCGUGCUUAGGCCUCAGUUAAGGAGCCAAGCAGACCCCAGCAGCGGCUACCCCACCGUGGCCUCCUGCUCAGAUGUUUGGAAAUCCCGCACCAUUCCAUUGCUCACACUAACUGGCAAACUCCUAUUCAGCUGCAAAACCCCAACACUGCGGCCCCUUCCUCCAGGAAGCCCUUUGACUCUCCUUCUGGGACGGUCCAACCCUUCUCUCACUCUGGCCCACCCCUGACCCCACAGAACAGGAUGGGUUCCCUCUGCAUAGAGGCUCCCUGUGGGUGUACACGGAGGGUUGCUAAUGGUGGAUGGGGUCACUGACACAGCUUGGUCUCUGCUGUGCCAACAACUGUUCCAAGGGACGUCAGAAGGAUAUUGUUCUGGGUUACGUCAGGUCGGACAGUGAAACCUUCUUCAUCCACCUCUGGACACGUCUGGGGUGGAAAGUGGUGAGGCGGAUGCAGUUCUCACCACACACACAUGCACACACACGCGCACACCGCCAGGGCCUGACUCAGACCCCAACUACCUUCCCUUGUCCCCUGGUGAGUGGCAGGUCCAAGGGGUGGGCGCACUGAAGCGGUGGGAUGUCGGUCCUACCCCCAAGCCCGGGAGUCUGCUUAAGCCCAGCCCCAGCUGCACUUCCUGGGGUCUGCCCCCCCACUGCCCCCUCCCCAGCCUCCACCUGGGCUUGACUUUGAAGGCCAAGUGUGAGAACAGACCUGCCCACCCACAGCCGACCCUCCCCUGGCACUCACCCCUGAAUCGGGUUCCGGGAAAUCCCUGGGGGAGGAAGAGGUGCCAGCAUUAGCUCCCUGGGAACUGGGGAGACUGUCCCAAGCCACCUUGGGGUCGUGGGAGUCUGGAGUUGGCUAAUCAGGAGGUGUUUUUAAAUAGCUUGGGCGGAGGCCCCUGUAGCUGGGCUUCAGAUUGACCCGAGGAGGCAGGGAGUGUGGGGGUCUGUGGGCAAGGCAAUGACCGGGCUAGCCUGGGCAAGGGAGGAACCCUGGGUCAGCCUGGGCAGGGCUAAUCCUUGGUCUCCCUGGCCAGGAAGCUUGGGCCUGGCUGUGGCCAAAGGAUCGACUCCAGACGAGGGUGGGCGGUGAUGCUCUGGAGCUCUCCUGGGACAAGUUCUUCCGGUCUAGUCUGGGGAGAUGGGCUCCUGGGCUAGCCUGGAGCUCACGUUACUCCUGAGCUACCCACAGAGGUCAACAGGCAAUACUGGGCUAGCCUGGGCUAGCCUGGAAUAGGGAGGCUCCUGAGGGGGGAUUUCUGGGCUGGCCCUGGAGGCGGACAGGGUCUUGGGCUAGCCUGGGCAAGGGCCAGCCAGGUGGGUGCUUCCUCACACGGCGGCUGGAGGCUCCCGCUCCCGCCGGCUGAGUCCCGGAAGGCGGAAGGCCUUGGAUCCCCGCAGACGCUUCAUUGCUGAGGACAGAUGGAGGGGGCUGAGCCCUGUGGGUGCCCCUCCCACGCAGAUCCGCCUCCUCCACCCGCGGUCUAGCCUGGGCAACCAGGCCCAGACGUACUUGCCUUCCUGCAGCGCGGCCGCACUGUAGGUCUCGAAGUCCAGAGGUCCUGAGGAGGGAGGGGGACAUCCCUGAGCGCGGAGGCAGCAACGCACUCUUGGCCACACCCGGCCAGCGCUGGAGCCUGCGGCAGACCGCGCAGGUCAAGGCCAAGAUGCUGGCCACCCAGACACGGUCGUAAGGAAACUGAAGUUCAGAGAAGUCAAGACACAUGUCCUGGGUCACAUAGCCAGCAAGGAAGAAAGGACCCAAACCAGGUCUGAUUCUCAAACUUGCCCUCGGUUCCUCUCAGCCCCCACAUCUGGGCAUUUCCAAAUCAGUCUUUUGCUCAACAACACUCAGUAGCUCCCAGGGGCCCUUGGGGUAAAGUCUGAACCACCAAGCCUGGUUUCCAAGGCCUCUCUGGGAUCUGGCUCUGAGACAGACACACCAGACCAGCCAGCGAAUCCUUUUCCUACAUGGAGGAGGACUUGGAAUCAUCAUCAGCCAUCUUUCUGAUGAAGAAACCGAGGCCCAGGGAGGACCAGUCUCCCGCCUCUCGGGUCCUGCUCCUGCUCUGUCGCUGCAGCCCCCAGCCUGGCCUCCACCGCCGCUGACUCACCCGGCUUCUCCCGGCCGGUGCCCUUGCUCUCGGCAAACUUCCUGAGCAGCAUCUCCACGCUGACGUUCUCUAUGUUCUGCUUGAAUUCCUCGUGCACCUGGGAGGGCGGCGGGUGGCAGGGCAUGUGACCGGCAUGGCCCUCCUGCCCGGCACCGCCCCGGCCUCAUCCAGCACACCAGUCGCUCACCUGCCCGAUCUGCACGUGGGUGUCCUCCACCGAGUGUGCGUAGGAGCCCAGCAGCGCCUUCAUGUGACGCAGGUGGCUCUCCUCCAUGGCUUGGAAGCGCUGAGGCAGGAGGGGCGGGUGAAUGGAAAUGCAGAAUGGCCACGCGGCCAAUCCGAACAUCCCAGCUCCUGGCCUCAGUGACUGAUUUGGGGAAGAGCCAAUGAGAGUCUGCCCUAGGACUUUGGCUGGACCCAUAGGAAAAGAUUCUUUCAUUCCUGAGCCAAUGAGGUGUUGGGAUACAAAUGGGAGCAGCUGACAGCCACUUUGCUACGCACACACUACACAGUUGAGUACACACACCCACACGUGAGCGUGCACACACACACACACACACACACACACAGGCAUGUCUAAUGUCUGCCCAGGAGUCAAGUCCCCAGGGAAGAAAACUGACUAGAGAAGCAGAGACACAAACUUCCUGAGACACCAUUUGAGCACCUGAAUCCAUCCAUGCCUGAAGCUUCCAAAACAAUUCUUCAGUUCACUGAGUCUAUAAAUCUCGUCAGUUUAAAUAAAGGU